AGUGAACGCUGGCGGUAGGCCUAACACAUGCAAGUCGAACGGCAGCACAGUAAGAGCUUGCUCUUACGGGUGGCGAGUGGCGGACGGGUGAGGAAUACAUCGGAAUCUACUUUUUCGUGGGGGAUAACGUAGGGAAACUUACGCUAAUACCGCAUACGACCUACGGGUGAAAGCAGGGGAUCUUCGGACCUUGCGCGAAUGAAUGAGCCGAUGUCGGAUUAGCUAGUUGGCGGGGUAAAGGCCCACCAAGGCGACGAUCCGUAGCUGGUCUGAGAGGAUGAUCCGCCACACUGGAACUGGGACACCGUCCAGACUCCUACGGGAGGCAGCAGUGGGGAAUAUUGGACAAUGGGCGCAAGCCUGAUCCAGCCAUACCGCGUGGGUGCAGAAGGCCUUCGGGUUGUAAAGCCCUUUUGUUGGGAAAGAAAAGCAGCAGGUUAAUACCCCGCUGUUCUGACGGUACCCAAAGAAUAAGCACCGGCUAACUUCGUG
rnacentral:rRNA from 1 species